rnacentral:rRNA from 1 species
AGACCCGAAACCCGGUGAUCUAGCCAUGGGCAGGUUGAAGGUUGGGUAACACUAACUGGAGGACCGAACCGACUAAUGUUGAAAAAUUAGCGGAUGACUUGUGGCUGGGGGUGAAAGGCCAAUCAAACCGGGAGAUAGCUGGUUCUCCCCGAAAGCUAUUUAGGUAGCGCCUCGUGAAUUCAUCUCCGGGGGUAGAGCACUGUUUCGGCAAGGGGGUCAUCCCGACUUACCAACCCGAUGCAAACUGCGAAUACCGGAGAAUGUUAUCACGGGAGACACACGGCGGGUGCUAACGUCCGUCGUGAAGAGGGAAACAACCCAGACCGCCAGCUAAGGUCCCAAAGUCAUGGUUAAGUGGGAAACGAUGUGGGAAGGCCCAGACAGCCAGGAUGUUGGCUUAGAAGCAGCCAUCAUUUAAAGAAAGCGUAAUAGCUCACUGGUCGAGUCGGCCUGCGCGGAAGAUGUAACGGGGCUAAACCAUGCACCGAAGCUGCGGCAGCGACACUGUGUGUUGUUGGGUAGGGGAGCGUUCUGUAAGCCUGUGAAGGUGUACUGUAAGGUAUGCUGGAGGUAUCAGAAGUGCGAAUGCUGACAUAAGUAACGAUAAAGCGGGUGAAAAGCCCGCUCGCCGGAAGACCAAGGGUUCCUGUCCAACGUUAAUCGGGGCAGGGUGAGUCGACCCCUAAGGCGAGGCCGAAAGGCGUAGUCGAUGGGAAACAGGUUAAUAUUCCUGUACUUGGUGUUACUGCGAAGGGGGGACGGAGAAGGCUAUGUUGGCCGGGCGACGGUUGUCCCGGUUUAAGCGUGUAGGCUGGUUUUCCAGGCAAAUCCGGAAAAUCAAGGCUGAGGCGUGAUGACGAGGCACUACGGUGCUGAAGCAACAAAUGCCCUGCUUCCAGGAAAAGCCUCUAAGCAUCAGGUAACAUCAAAUCGUACCCCAAACCGACACAGGUGGUCAGGUAGAGAAUACCAAGGCGCUUGAGAGAACUCGGGUGAAGGAACUAGGCAAAAUGGUGCCGUAACUUCGGGAGAAGGCACGCUGAUAUGUAGGUGAAGUCCCUCGCGGAUGGAGCUGAAAUCAGUCGAAGAUACCAGCUGGCUGCAACUGUUUAUUAAAAACACAGCACUGUGCAAACACGAAAGUGGACGUAUACGGUGUGACGCCUGCCCGGUGCCGGAAGGUUAAUUGAUGGGGUCAGCGCAAGCGAAGCUCUUGAUCGAAGCCCCGGUAAACGGCGGCCGUAACUAUAACGGUCCUAAGGUAGCGAAAUUCCUUGUCGGGUAAGUUCCGACCUGCACGAAUGGCGUAAUGAUGGCCAGGCUGUCUCCACCCGAGACUCAGUGAAAUUGAACUCGCUGUGAAGAUGCAGUGUACCCGCGGCAAGACGGAAAGACCCCGUGAACCUUUACUAUAGCUUGACACUGAACAUUGAGCCUUGAUGUGUAGGAUAGGUGGGAGGCUUUGAAGUGUGGACGCCAGUCUGCAUGGAGCCGACCUUGAAAUACCACCCUUUAAUGUUUGAUGUUCUAACGUGGACCCGUGAUCCGGGUUGCGGACAGUGUCUGGUGGGUAGUUUGACUGGGGCGGUCUCCUCCUAAAGAGUAACGGAGGAGCACGAAGGUUGGCUAAUCCUGGUCGGACAUCAGGAGGUUAGUGCAAUGGCAUAAGCCAGCUUGACUGCGAGCGUGACGGCGCGAGCAGGUGCGAAAGCAGGUCAUAGUGAUCCGGUGGUUCUGAAUGGAAGGGCCAUCGCUCAACGGAUAAAAGGUACUCCGGGGAUAACAGGCUGAUACCGCCCAAGAGUUCAUAUCGACGGCGGUGUUUGGCACCUCGAUGUCGGCUCAUCACAUCCUGGGGCUGAAGUAGGUCCCAAGGGUAUGGCUGUUCGCCAUUUAAAGUGGUACGCGAGCUGGGUUUAGAACGUCGUGAGACAGUUCGGUCCCUAUCUGCCGUGGGCGCUGGAGAACUGAGGGGGGCUGCUCCUAGUACGAGAGGACCGGAGUGGACGCAUCACUGGUGUUCGGGUUGUCAUGCCAAUGGCACUGCCCGGUAGCUAAAUGCGGAAGAGAUAAGUGCUGAAAGCAUCUAAGCACGAAACUUGCCCCGAGAUGAG